GUCGAUUCUGCCGGACCCGACUGCUAUCAGAGUGGGACUAAGCCAUGCGAGUCAACAUAGCAAUAUGUGGCAUACGGCUCAGUAACACGUAGUCAACAUGCCCAGGGGACGUGGAUAACCUCGGGAAACUGAGGAUAAACCGCGAUAAGUCACUACUUCUGGAAUGGGUAAUGACUUAAAUCUAUAUGGCCCCUGGAUUGGACUGCGGCCGAUCAGGCUGUUGGUGAGGUAAUGGCCCACCAAACCUGUAACCGGUACGGGCUCUGAGAGGAGGAGCCCGGAGAUGGGCACUGAGACAAGGGCCCAGGCCCUAUGGGGCGCAGCAGGCGCGAAACCUCUGCAAUAGGCGAAAGCCUGACAGGGUUACUCUGAGUGAUUUCCGUUAAGGAGAUCUUUUGGCACCUCUAAAAAUGGUGCAGAAUAAGGGGUGGGCAAGUCUGGUGUCAGCCGCCGCGGUAAUACCAGCACCCCGAGUGGUCGGGACGUUUAUUGGGCCUAAAGCAUCCGUAGCCGGUUCUGCAAGUCUUCCGUUAAAUCCACCUGCUUAACAGAUGGGCCGCGGAAGAUACUAUAGAGCUAGGAGGCGGGAGAGGCAAGCGGUACUCGAUGGGUAGGGGUAAAAUCCGUUGAUCCAUUGAAGACCACCAGUGGCGAAGGCGGCUUGCCAGAACGCGCUCGACGGUGAGGGAUGAAAGCUGGGGGAGCAAACCGGAUUAGAUACCCGGGUAGUCCCAGCUGUAAACGAUGCAGACUCGGUGAUGAAUUGGCUUUAUGCCUAUUCAGUGCCGCAGGGAAGCCGUUAAGUUUGCCGCCUGGGGAGUACGGUCGCAAGACUGAAACUUAAAGGAAUUGGCGGGGGAGCACCACAAGGGGUGAAGCCUGCGGUUCAAUUGGAGUCAACGCCGG
rnacentral:rRNA from 1 species